rnacentral:rRNA from 1 species
GACGAACGCUGGCGGCGUGCCUAAUACAUGCAAGUCGAGCGAAGUUUUUCUGGUGCUUGCACUAGAAAAACUUAGCGGCGAACGGGUGAGUAACACGUAAAGAACCUGCCUCAUAGACUGGGACAACUAUUGGAAACGAUAGCUAAUACCGGAUAACAGUAUUUCUCGCAUGAGAGAUAUUUAAAAGUUGGUUAUGCUAACACUAUGAGAUGGCUUUGCGGUGCAUUAGCUAGUUGGUGGGGUAAAGGCCCACCAAGGCGACGAUGCAUAGCCGACCUGAGAGGGUGAUCGGCCACACUGGGACUGAGACACGGCCCAGACUCCUACGGGAGGCAGCAGUAGGGAAUCUUCCGCAAUGGGCGAAAGCCUGACGGAGCAACGCCGCGUGAGUGAAGAAGGAUUUCGGUUCGUAAAGCUCUGUUGUUAGGGAAGAAUGGAUAUGUAGUAACUAUACAUGCAAGAGACGGUACCCAACCAGAAAGCCACGGCUAACUACGUG